rnacentral:rRNA from 1 species
AUUGAACGCUGGCGGCAGGCCUAACACGUGCAAGUCGAGCGGAUGAAGGGAGCUUGCUCCUGGAUUCAGCGGCGGACGGGUGAGUAAUGCCUAGGAAUCUGCCUGGUAGUGGGGGAUAACGUCCGGAAACGGGCGCUAAUACCGCAUACGUCCUGAGGGAGAAAGUGGGGGAUCUUCGGACCUCACGCUAUCAGAUGAGCCUAGGUCGGAUUAGCUAGUUGGUGGGGUAAAGGCCUACCAAGGCGACGAUCCGUAACUGGUCUGAGAGGAUGAUCAGUCACACUGGAACUGAGACACGGUCCAGACUCCUACGGGAGGCAGCAGUGGGGAAUAUUGGACAAUGGGCGAAAGCCUGAUCCAGCCAUGCCGCGUGUGUGAAGAAGGUCUUCGGAUUGUAAAGCACUUUAAGUUGGGAGGAAGGGCAGUAAGUUAAUACCUUGCUGUUUUGACGUUACUAACAGAAUAAGCACCGGCUAACUUCGU